rnacentral:rRNA from 1 species
CAGUCGCCGCGGUAACACGAAGGGUGCAAGCGUUACUCGGAAUUACUGGGCGUAAAGCGUGCGUAGGUGGUGGUUUAAGUCCGUUGUGAAAGCCCUGGGCUCAACCUGGGAAUUGCAGUGGAUACUGGGUCACUAGAGUGUGGUAGAGGAUAGUGGAAUUUCCGGUGUAGCAGUGAAAUGCGUAGAGAUCGGAAGGAACAUCUGUGGCGAAGGCGACUAUCUGGGCCAACACUGACACUGAGGCACGAAAGCGUGGGGAGCAAACAGGAUUAGAUACCCCAGUAGUCCCUGUCUCUUAUAA